rnacentral:rRNA from 1 species
GACGAACGCUGGCGGCGUGCUUAACACAUGCAAGUCGUACGGUAAGGCCCUUUCGGGGGUCCACGAGUGGCGAACGGGUGAGUAACACGUGAGUAACCUGCCCACAACUUUGGGAUAACGCUAGGAAACUGGUGCUAAUACUGGAUAUGUGCUCCUGCUACAUGGUGGGGGUUGGAAAGCUCCGGCGGUUGUGGAUGGACUCGCGGCCUAUCAGCUUGUUGGUGGGGUAGUGGCCUACCAAGGCGGCGACGGGUAGCCGGCCUGAGAGGGUGACCGGCCACAUUGGGACUGAGAUACGGCCCAGACUCCUACGGGAGGCAGCAGUGGGGAAUAUUGCACAAUGGGCGCAAGCCUGAUGCAGCAACGCCGCGUGCGGGAUGACGGCCUUCGGGUUGUAAACCGCUUUCAGCAGGGACGAAGCUUUUUGUGACGGUACCUGCAGAAGAAGCACCGGCUAACUACGUG